rnacentral:rRNA from 1 species
UACAGAGGGUGCGAGCGUUAAUCGGAAUUACUGGGCGUAAAGCGUGCGCAGGCGGUUGUGCAAGACAGAUGUGAAAUCCCCGGGCUCAACCUGGGAACUGCAUUUGUGACUGCACAGCUUGAGUGCGGCAGAGGGGGAUGGAAUUCCGCGUGUAGCAGUGAAAUGCGUAGAUAUGCGGAGGAACACCGAUGGCGAAGGCAAUCCCCUGGGCCUGUACUGACGCUCAUGCACGAAAGCGUGGGGAGCAAACAGG